GGUGAGAUGGCGGAGCGGUCUAAGGCGCCAGACUAAGGAAGUUCUUCUAACAAAUCUGGUCCGAAAGGGCGUGGGUUCAAAUCCCACUCUCAUCA